GAUGAACGCUGGCGGCGUGCCUAAUACAUGCAAGUCGAGCGAACGGACGAGAAGCUUGCUUCCCUGAUGUUAGCGGCGGACGGGUCAGUAACACGUGGAUAACCUACCUAUAAGACUGGGAUAACUUCGGGAAACCGUAGCUAAUACCGGAUAAUAUUUUGAACCUCAUUGUUCAAAAGUGAAAUACGGUCUUUCUUUCGCUUAUAGAUGGAUCCGCGCUGCAUUAGCUAGUUGGUAAGGGAACGGCUUACCAAGGCAGCGAUGCAUACCCGACCUGAAAGGGACAAUGGACACCCUGGCAGAGAGACACGGCACACACUCCUACAGGGGGACGCAGUAGGGACUCCUCCGCGAUGGACGAGAGCCUGAUAGUGCAACGCCGGCGGAGUGCUGAAGGACUACUGAUGGUAGAACUAUGUAAUCAUGAAAGAAGAAAAGCGCAAUUAACUGUGCACAUAUUGACGGUACCUAAUCAGAAAGCCCCGGCUAACUCCGUG
rnacentral:rRNA from 1 species